CUCUGCUUUUACAUAUUCUAAAAAUGCACCCCAUCUGUUUCAGGGUGGGGCAGAGGAAGAAAAGAAACUUUGGGAAUGUUAGAGGCCAAAAUAUAAUGGAAACUAAAGUGUUUACAGGCUAACACCGAACUCUGCUGUCACCGCACACGAACGGCUAUGGACAACAUGAACACGAAUGUGUGUGUUCAGUAAAACCACACCUUCAGCACAGGCCAUGGAGGCAGAUGUGAGCGGUGCUCUCACACACCUGUGGGAAAGACAGCAGAAAUCAUUGCAGUAAGUGGGACUCUAAGCUUUCCAGAAUCGACAGAGUUGCACCGAAUUUACUAAAUUAUUCACUUUCAUGGCACCUGCUCUCUGUUUCUCCUGGACAACGUGUUCUGGGAACUUCACCCGGGGGAGCGUGCAUCUCACAGAUCCUGGCACAGAGCUGUAGGGGAGAGGACAGGUGCUUAGCACAGGUUGUGCAGAGCGUCCUGGACGUGCCGGCCUGGGAGAGCCUCAGGAAGGAAACGUAUUGUUAUGAGCAUGACCUUGAAGGUGAUGCAAAGUAUUAUAGCGUUUCUAGGAAGCCCUACAUAAGCUAGGCUAAGCAACUCAUUAUUUAAGGAUGCAGGCAUGUCGCGACUUGCCAUCAAAGAGCUGACAAAUACACAUCUCAGGCAGGAGCAGAGAAGACAGCCCUGGAGUGGUUGCGUGUCAAGUUCUGGCCUCAUUCCUGGGCUUUGCAAUGUGCACACAUUUCAUAUCUUCCUUCCUACAUAAUCCAAGAUCACAGGAUAGCAUGGGAGACCCAGCUCGGUUCCCUAUUCCUGUAAGAGGAGAAAAUUCGAUCUGUGCUCUUGGCUUUCCAGAGACUUCUGUCCUUAAUCAAGGGCUGGCUCCCCUCUCCCUCCUCUCCUGCCUGGCUACGCCUUGCCUGCUCUGGGGACCUUCAGGACACAAGUGUCCCACCGGAGGCCUGGAGAAGAAAGCUGGGCAGGUACUCCACAGCUGGCUCCAGAGAACUCGGUUGGUUUCACAGGAUGGCAGGAUGGCCAUUCACACGGGAACAGGUUUUUGUUGCCACGUGAACUAUGUCGGGACCGUUCUGUCACCUCCUCUGGGAAGGACGGGCCAGCCCGAGGCAGUCACCUUCACCGCCGUCCUGUGUCCUUGCCCUGGUGACGUGAAAGGCAGGCAAGGCUUGGGAGCAGGCUUCUCACUUUCUUCCUGCACCAUCUUCCCUGUGCUCCUGCCUUUUCAGCAUCUCCGUUCCCUCAUCUGUAAAAUCAGGAGGGUUGUUGGGGAGACCAGGGACAGAGACAAGACCCAGUCCACUGCGUUCAGUGGUGGACCUGCCGGCCUCCCCAGGCUCUGGAAGCACCUAGAGGGGGACACUGGCUUUGCCCACCGCUACGCCCCCAGGGUCGGCACGGCUCCUGGCACACAGCAGCUGCUCAGCACCGCGUGGACAGUGAAAGGCGGAAGUUUGCCCCCAUCCGCUGUAUGCAGUACUGCGGCUUUCGUGUACUUUAGGCCGAGCUCCGGGACCGUAACUGUCAGUUCUGCAGCCUCUAACUCUGCUGUCCUCUGAUCAUGAAGAUGAGCUGUUGUCAUGAGGGAGAAUUCAGAAAAUAAGUACAAAAACAAACAAGAAAAUGACCAUGGCUAUAAUACCAGCACCCAUACUCCAAAUGAGUUACUAUUUUGGCUCAUAUGCUUCUAGCCUUAACAUAGAUGUCUAGGGUAGUUGGCCUCCUGUUAUGUGAACACUUAUUUCCCUUUAUAUUGGGCGAAGAGCAUCUGUCCAUAUCAGAUGGCUGCAUAACAUCUCAUCACAUGAAGGCGUCAUAUUUGAUGUGACCGUUUAUUCUCCUGUUGUUGAACAUUUAGUUUUAUGGGUGAUUCUACAAGAACUUCUUUAUACAGAAAUCUUUGUCCGUAUUUUUAUUGCCUUUGUCAAGUCCUGCAUGGGGCUAAUUAUUCUGUCAGAUUUACAGCUUUGGAUACCUGCCAUGUUGUUUUUCAGAAAUACAGAGGCAAUUUUUUCUCCCCUUAGGAUGUCUGAUAGCUAAGAUUAGCAUCAGGCCUUAAAAAUCCUUGCUAAAACAUAUAGGGGAGAAAAUGAAAGUUCGUUGUCCCUUUUAAUUCACCUUUCUUUGAAUCCUAGAGAGGAAGUCUGCCCUACCUUCCUGUUCUGUUUAAUGGCCAUGUCCUGUACUGGCUUCAGUGCCACAGCGUGACCAAGAAGGGUCGGUCUCCUGCCCAGGGAGGAUCUUUCCCAAUGUGUUUAUGGGGUGACCAAAGGACUCUCCAAACUGUCCUGUUAAAAGAAUAAUGUUGCCUGUUCUGUGUAGCACCCACACUUAGAAGUUUUCUGUUGAGAAAGUCCCACUGUAUUCAAUUGACCAAGCUCAAGAAAUGGUCCAUAAAAUUAAAGGCCAUUUGAUUUUCUUGGGAUCUAAUCUUCAUGAUGGAGCAGCUCCUGGAUUUGGUGAGUCUGCAUAUGCACAAAUUUUCUAUGUACAUAGCAAGUGCUAUAAAGUGUUCAAUAUUUUUUGAUAGUAGGAUCUCAUUCAAGUUCCAGGGAAUGAGGGGAGUAAUACGUGUUACAUGUUCUGGUACAUUCCAAAUUCACUGGAGGUUUUUUUUACAGGAGUGGAAUACGAUUAGAUAUACAUUGCAAAAUGAUCAUUCUAGCAGUCAUGUUGGGGAAGGACCAGGGGCCUAGAAUGAAGAAAGGGAGACCAGCUGUUAGGUGGUUGUAACAUCAGACACAAGAGGUUACACAAGAGGUUACAGCUCAGACCCAGGCAGGAAAACUCAGCAUAGGUUUCACCAGGAGACAGAAUCUGGAGGGUCUGAUGGAUGAUGUGAGAAGGAGAGAGGGCUCCUGUGUGGUGACAGCUUUCACCAAGAAAGGGGACACCAGAGAAAGAGGCGGCAAGGUCCCUGAAGGGGGUUUUCAGGACGAAGAGAUCCAAGUAGGUUAUGGCUGGAAAAAAAGCAACCAAAUAACACAGAAGGAGGAGAAGGGAAGGGUGAGACACAGAGCUAGGAAGAGGGUCAUGCAGCAGGUCCUUGGGAAGGAAUGAAGGAUGUAACCCAAAGCCCAGGUCCUCAGGGCUCAGCCUUGCUUAGGACAGAAAGGGCCAGGCCAGGCCCCAGGAGGAGGUAGAGGCAGAAUGCUAAGGGAGGUCAUGAUCUGUCUGAGGGACGGAGCCGCCUCCCUGGGGGAUGGCCCUGGACUGGACUUCUGGGCAGAGAAGUCGUGGGGGAGUGUGCGCCCUUCCAGCUGAGCACGAACCAGCUGCCAGGCCAGGGCGCUGGGAAGUGUGUGGAUGGAGAUUGCUGAGCCCAGAAGCUGAGCAAACUCUAGACGGUUGUGAGACGCAGAGUCGUUGUCUGUCCAGGUUAAAGUCCACGUCCUAAUUCCUGGAUCCUGUGAUCACAUAACCUCACGUGGCAAGGGACUUCGCAGAUGUGACUAAAUUAAAAAUCGAGAUGGGGAGACUGUCCUGGCUUAUCCGGCAGGCUCAGUGUAGUCCUGAGGAUCCUCAUACAGGACAGAGGGCGGUAGAAAAGUCAGAGAAGGAGAGGUGCCAAUGGAAGGAGAGGUGCCAAUGGAAGCAGAGGUGGAAGGAUGCCAUUGCUGGCUCUGAAGGUGGAGGAAGGGGCCACCGGCCAGCACAUGUGGGCAGCCUCCAGCACCUGGAAGAGGCAAGGAGAUGGAGCCUCCCCUCCAGCCUCGAGAAGAAGCACAGCCCUUCCCACACCUUGAUUUUAGCCCAGUGAGACCCACUGUGGACUUCUGACCUCCAGAACUGUAAAAGAAUAAAUCUGUUAAAACUAUAAAGGAACAGAACAAAAUUUAAGCCACUAAAAUUGUGGUAAUUUGUUAUAGGAGCCACAGAAAAGGAAUGAAAUGCCGGAGACCAAAACGUACUGGGUAAGAGAGAGGCCAGCCACAUGAAUUUAUUUAUCUAUCUAUCUAUCUUUGGCUGCGUUGGGUCUUCGUUGCUGCG